rnacentral:rRNA from 1 species
CUACGGGUGGCAGCAGUGGGGAAUAUUGCACAAUGGGCGCAAGCCUGAUGCAGCCAUGCCGCGUGUGUGAAGAAGGCCUUCGGGUUGUAAAGCAUUUUCAGCGGGGAGGAAGGCGGUGAGGUUAAUAACCUUAUCGAUUGACGUUACCCGCAGAAGAAGCACCGGCUAACUCCGUGCCAGCAGCCGCGGUAAUACGGAGGGUGCAAGCGUUAAUCGGAAUUACUGGGCGUAAAGCGCACGCAGGCGGUCUGUCAAGUCGGAUGUGAAAUCCCCGGGCUCAACCUGGGAACUGCAUUCGAAACUGGCAGGCUAGAGUCUUGUAGAGGGGGGUAGAAUUCCAGGUGUAGCGGUGAAAUGCGUAGAGAUCUGGAGGAAUACCGGUGGCGAAGGCGGCCCCCUGGACAAAGACUGACGCUCAGGUGCGAAAGCGUGGGGAGCAAACAGGAUUAGAUACCCGAGUAGUC